rnacentral:rRNA from 1 species
UACGUAGGGGGCAAGCGUUGUCCGGAAUUAUUGGGCGUAAAGCGCGCGCAGGCGGUCAUUUAAGUCUGGUGUAUAAUCUCGGGGCUCAACUCCGAGUCGCACUGGAAACUGGGUGGCUUGAGUGCAGAAGAGGAGAGUGGAAUUCCACGUGUAGCGGUGAAAUGCGUAGAUAUGUGGAGGAACACCAGUGGCGAAGGCGACUCUCUGGGCUGUAACUGACGCUGAGGCGCGAAAGCGUGGGUAGCGAACAGG